rnacentral:rRNA from 1 species
AGAACGAACGCUGGCGGCAUGCCUAAUACAUGCAAGUCGAACGAACACUUCGGUGUUAGUGGCGCACGGGUGCGUAACGCGUGGGAAUCUGCCCUUGGGUUCGGAAUAACAGUUGGAAACGACUGCUAAUACCGGAUGAUAUCGAAAGAUCAAAGAUUUAUCGCCCAGGGAUGAGCCCGCGUAGGAUUAGCUAGUUGGUGAGGUAAAGGCUCACCAAGGCGACGAUCCUUAGCUGGUCUGAGAGGAUGAUCAGCCACACUGGGACUGAGACACGGCCCAGACCUCCGUACGGGAGGCAGCAGUAGGGAAUAGUUGACAA